ensembl:snRNA U4 U4 spliceosomal RNA
AGCUUUGCGCAUUGGCAGUAUCACAGCCAAUGAGGUUUACCUGAGGUGCAAUUAUUGCCAAUUGUAAGCUUCUCCCAGUACCCUGGCAUGACAACUUGCAGUAGAGUUGACAUUGGCAAUCUUUUAUGGUCUCUAUGGAGA